UUUGUUCAAACCAUGAUAUAGAUGGUUGGUUUUAGGAGGGUUUGGAGUUCUGGAAAGUUGGGAGUUUCUAGAGAAUGAUUUUUGGUUGAAAAACAAGAAAGCGUGCCAGGGGUUUUGCAAUAAAAGGGUCGUGAGUGUCCUUAAACGUGUGAAAGGAUAGCAAUCAAGCUUAGAAAGAUGAUUAAUUUAUUGAAUCAAGCUUAGAAAGAUGAUUAAUUUAUUGAACUUUUACUUUGUAUUACUAUAAAAAAGAAAAAAGAAAAAAAGGAAGACCAAGCUUAAAGCUUAUUUGAUUAUUUGCUUAAGGAUAUGAAGUAACCGAGUGGCAGUAUACAAAAUGGAAUAUGAUCUCUUGAUUUGGUUCUGUUUGAAA